GGAAAGGCCAUAGCUCAGUGGUAGAGUACAUGACUUUUCAUGCAAAAGAUCCCAGCUUCAAGCCCUGUUCUCUCCA